rnacentral:rRNA from 1 species
AUUGAACGCUGGCGGCAGGCCUAACACAUGCAAGUCGAACGAGUGGCGGACGGGUGAGUACUGUCUGGGAAACUGCCUGAUGGAGGGGGAUAACUACUGGAAACGGUAGCUAAUACCGCAUACCAUCGGAUGUGCCCAGAUGGGAUUAGCUAGUUGGUGGGGUAAAGGCUCACAAAGGCGACGAUCCCUAGCUGGUCUGAGAGGAUGACCAUCCACACUGGAACUGAGACACGGUCCAGACUCCUACGGGAGGCAGCAGUGGGGAAUAUGGCACAAUGGGCGCAAGCCGAAUGCAGCCAUGCCGAGUGUAUGAAGAAGGCCUUCGGGUUGUAAAGUACUUUCAGCGGGGAGGCGUUACCCGCAGAAGAAGCACCGGCUAACUCCGUGCCAGCAGCCGCGGUAAUAC